ACGUAGGGUGCAAACGUUGUUCGGAAUCAUUGGGCGUAAAGGGUACGUAGGUGGUCUUGUAAGUUAGAGGUGAAAUCCCGGGGCUCAACUCCGGGGCUGCCUUUAAAACUAUGAGACUAGAGUCGCUAAUAUGGGUGGCAGGAAUUCCUAGUGUAGGAGUGAAAUCUGUAGAUAUUAGGAAGAACACCAAUGGCGAAGGCAAGCCACUGGGUAGCGACUGACACUGAGGUACGAAAGCCGGGGGAGCAAAAGG
rnacentral:rRNA from 1 species